AGUAACGCGUAGGUAACCUACCUCAUAGCGGGGGAUAACUAUUGGAAACGAUAGCUAAUACCGCAUAAGAGAGACUAACGCAUGUUAGUAAUUUAAAAGGGGCAAUUGCUCCACUAUGAGAUGGACCUGCGUUGUAUUAGCUAGUUGGUGAGGUAAAGGCUCACCAAGGCGACGAUACAUAGCCGACCCGAGAGGGUGAUCGGCCACACUGGGACUGAGACACGGCCCAG
rnacentral:rRNA from 1 species